AAACUUAAAUGAAUUGACGGGACCCGCACAAGCGGUGGAUGAUGUGGUUUAAUUCGAUGCAACGCGAAAACCUUACCCACCUUUGACAUGGCAGGAAUCCUGAAGAGAUUUGGGAGUGCUCGAAAGAGAACCUGCACACAGGUGCUGCAUGGCUGUCGUCAGCUCGUGUCGUGAGAUGUUGGGUUAAGUCCCGCAACGAGCGCAACCCUUGCCAUUAGUUGCUACGAAAGGGCACUCUAAUGGGACUGCCGGUGACAAACCGGAGGAAGGUGGGGAUGACGUCAAGUCCUCAUGGCCCUUAUAGGUGGGGCUACACACGUCAUACAAUGGCCGGUACAGAGGGUAGCCAACCCGCGAGGGGGAGCCAAUCCCACAAAGCCGGUCGUAGUCCGGAUCGCAGUCUGCAACUCGACUGCGUGAAGUCGGAAUCGCUAGUAAUCGCGGAUCAGCAUGUCGCGGUGAAUACGUUCCCGGGUCUU
rnacentral:rRNA from 1 species